rnacentral:rRNA from 1 species
UACAGAGGUCUCAACCGUUGUUCGGAUUUAUUGGGCGUAAAGGGUGCGUAGGCGGCGGGGUAAGUCAGGUGUGAAAUCUCGGGGCUCAACCCCGAAACUGCACUUGAUACUGCCUUGCUCGAGUACUGGAGAGGAGACUGGAAUUUACGGUGUAGCAGUGAAAUGCGUAGAUAUCGUAAGGAAGACCAGUGGCGAAGGCGGCAUCCUGGACCGACAUUGACGCUGAGGAGCGAAAGCUAGGGGAGCAAACGGG